AAUAUCUCAUCUCAAAUGGAAUAAAAUCAUCAGCUUCUCUCUAUCAUAUCUGUAGCCUUUUCUUCAUUAACUUGCAGCUUUAUACCUGUAAUUUCUUGAACAAGUGGUAUUAGAGCCACAGUUGGUCUUACAGGACCUGUGUUUUGAGAGAAAACCAAGAAAGUUCACUUCAUAACCCAUUUGAAACCACACUAGAAAAUGGCAACCAGCAGCAUCUCUUUGUUAGCUCCUCAAAUCUUUGUGGGAGAAAACUAUCAAAUUUGGUCCGUAAAGAUGCAAACGUACCUGGAAGCAUUUGAUCUUUGGGAAGUUGUAGCUGAAGACGAACCAAUAGCUCCACUUCCGGCGAAUCCUACCUUAGCACAAAUCAGAGCUCAUACUGACGAAAAGACCAAAAGUUUAAAGCUAAGACUUUAAUCCAAAAUUCAGUUGUUGACUCAGUAUUUCAUAGAAUUAUGAAUUGCAGGACAACCAAAGAAGCCUGGGACAAGCUUAAAUUGAAGUAUCAAGGAAGUGAUAGAACCAAACAAAUGCAAGUGCUGAAUUUGAAAAGGGACUUCGAGUUUCUAACCAUGCAAGAAGAUGAAACUAUCACCAAGUAUUCUGAAAAAAUUGCUUUGAUUGUUAACAAAAUCAGGUCGCUUGGUGAAGAAUUUCCUGAUGCAAAUAUCGUGGAGAAGGUUCUUGUGACACUUCCUGAGAGGUUUGAGUCCAAGAUUUCAUCUCUUGAAGAAUCUAGGGACCUUUCACAAAUUUCACUUGCUAAACUAAUGAACGUACUCCAAGCAUAAGAGCAAAGAAGAGAUUUGAGGCAAGAGAACGUCACAGAAGGUGCUUUUCAAAUGCAGACCCUACAAUCUAAUAAAGACAAAAACCAGUUCAGCAAGAAGAAAAGUAAAAACAGAGAGAAGAGCAGCAAAGAAGGGGCCCAACAGAAGAAAUAUUCAACCUGCUCACAUUGCAAGAAGACUACGCAUCUAGAGAAAUAUUGUUGGUGGAGGCCAGAUGCAAUAUGCGGCAAUUGCAAACAGCUUGGGCAUGUUACCAAAGUCUGGAAAUAUAAAAAUAAAGGUCCUCAAUUUCAGCAAGCACAAGUUGCUGAUGCAGAUUCACAGGAGGAGAAACUCUUUGUAGUAUCAUGUUUCUCAAGUCAAGACUCUUAUAAUGCUUGGCUCAUUGAUAGUGGAUGCACACACCACGUGUCACAAUAUUCAAGGAUCUUGACAAAACCUACAACUCUAUGGUGAAAGUUGGGAAUGGUGGAUACGUGGAUGUCAAGGGAAGGGGCACAGUUGCUAUCAAAACAAAUUCAGGUAUCAAGCUCAUCUCUGAUGUGUUAUUUGUACCUGAUAUUAGUCAAAAUCUAUUGAGUGUAGGUCAAAUGCUUGAAAAGCAAUAUUCCCUGCAAUUCAAAGACAACCAAUGCAUCAUCUUUGAUCCAUAUGGAGAGAAAUUGCUUUGUUUGAAGAUGAAAAGCAAGAGCUUUGCCAUCAAUUGGGAGAAUGCUGCUGAAUAUGCAUAUGCUGGAGUUACUCAAAGUGUUUCAGACCUAUGGCAUAAACGGUUUGGACACUAUAACCAAAGAAGCUUAGUAGAGCUAAAAAAACUUGAGUUGGUGGAAGACAUGCCAAACGUAUCUAAUGAAGCUCAAAUAUGUGAGAUUUGUCAACAAGGCAAACAAUCAAGGUUGCCAUUCAAAAAUAAUCAAGCAUGGAGAGCCACUGAAAAGCUUCAACUCAUACACACCGAUGUUUGUGGUCCCAUGAAAACAACUUCUUUGAGUGGUAACAAAUACUUCAUUCUCUUUAUAGAUGACUAUACCAGAAUGUGUUGGGUAUAUUUUAUUAAAUUAAAGAAUGAAGUUUUCUCUGUUUUCAAACAAUUCAAAGCCCUUGUAGAAAAUCAAAGCAACUUGAGCAUUAAAAUCUUAAGGUCCGACAAUGGUACGGAAUAUACCUCCAGUCAGUUUGUUGAGUUUUGUAGCACUGCAGGCAUCAAACGUCAGCUAACAACUCCAUACACUCCACAGCAAAAUGGUGUCUCGGAGAGGAAGAAUCAAACUGUAAAGCAGAUGGCCAGGUGUCUUCUAUUUGAGAAAAAAAUGCCAAGUAAUUUUUGGGCAGAGGCAGUUAACACCUUUGCAUAUUUGCUGAACAGAUUGCCUACAAAAUCCUUGAAGAACAAAACACCACAUGAAGCAUGGUAUGGUGUCAAGCCCUUUGUUAAUCAUCUUAAAAUAUUUGGAAGCAUAUGCUAUUAUCAUGUACCAAAACCUAAAAGAAGCAAGCUGGAUGGCAGAGCUCAGAAGGGCAUUCUCAUUGGCUAUGGGACAUCAACUAAGGGCUAUAGAAUAUUCUGUUUGCAAAUUAACAAAGUUGUCUUGACCAGGAAUGUAAAAGUUGAUGAAAUGACAACUUGGGAUUGGAAAAAUAAAAAAGAUGCGCAAUCUGAUGCCGACUUCGAUAAUCAUGAAGAUUUUCAAACUUCUAAAUUUGUAGAUGAUUUUCCAGUGAGGGGCACAAGAAGUUUGGAGGACAUCUAUCAAAGGUGCAGUUUAUCAAUAACUGAACCAAAAAGUUAUGUAGAAGCCAAAGAUUCUGAAGCAUGGAGGAGAGCAAUGCAAGAAGAAUUGAAGAUGAUUAACAAGAAUGAAACCUAGCAGCUUGUGGAGAGACCCAAAAAUCACAAGGUGUUCGAAGUGAAAUGGGUUUUCAAAACAAAACUCAAUUCUGAUGGUUCGAUAUGCAAGCACAAAGCUAGGCUAGUGGUGAAGGGAUAUGCUCAACAGUAUGGUGUUGAUUAUCAGGAGACUUUUGCUCCUGUGGCAAGGUAUGACACUAUCAGGCUACUUUUUGUACUUUCUGCUCAAAAUUCUUGGCAUAUUCAUCAGUUAGAUGUUAAAUCUGCCUUCUUAAAUGGAUUUGUUGAUGAAGAGAUAUAUGUAGAGCAACCAGAUGGGGUUGUGGCUCCAGGCAAAAAGGACUAUGUGUACCUUCUAAGGAAGGCAUUGUAUGGCUUGAAACAAGCCCCAAUACAUUGUAUGACUAAACUUGGUUUUGUUAGAAGUCAAAGUGAAGCAACCUUAUAUGUAAAAACUGAUGAUGUCCAGCUUUUAAUAAUCUCUCUUUAUGUAGACGACAUGCUUGUAACAGGAAAUCAUCCCAAGUUAAUUCAAAGCUUCAAGGAUGAGAUGAAUAGAGUCUUUGAAAUGACCGAUCUUGGAGUCAUGAAGUACUUUUUGGGAAUGGAAGUGAUGCAAUCAUGUUCAAGAAUUUUCAUAUGCCAACAGAAGUAUGCUAUGGAUAUGCUGAAAAAAUUUAAAAUGCAAGAUUGCAAGCUUGUGUCUACUCCUAUGACAACCAGCGAGAAGUUAAGCAAGGAUGACGGCUCUGAGAAAAUAAAUGAAGGCUUAUAUAGAAGCUUAAUUGGUAGCCUUUUAUACCUAACAACUAGCAGACCUGACAUACUGUUUGUUGUUAGUGUGCUUUCUAGGUUCAUGCACUCACCAAGUGAGAAACAUUUUUCGGCAGUUAAAAGAGUAUUAAGGUACAUCAAGGGAACAAUUGAUCUUGGAGUUCAAUUUUCAAAAUCUGUAGAAGGUGAUUUGAAGCUGCUAGGCUACUCCGACAGCGACUAGGGAGGUUGUGUUGAUGAUUCAAGAAGUACUUCAGGGUACUUAUUCUCCUUAGGCUCAGGUUUUUUCACUUGGAGCUCAAAGAAACAAGAAACCACAGGCCAAUUAACAGCAGAGGCAGAAUACAUUGCUGUUGCAUCUGCUGUAAAUCAAGCUUUAUGGUUAAGAAAAAUACUGAAAGACUUGGGGCAAGAGCAAGUUGAAGCAACCAACAUUAUGUGUAACAACAUUUCUGCAGUAUCAAUUUCGAAAAAUCUUGUGUUUCAUGGUCGAACAAAGCAUAUUAAGAUCAAGUAUCAUUUUAUUAGAGAAGUUCAACAAUCCAAUGAAGUGUUACUUGUUCAUUGUUCCUCUGAAAAUCAACUUGCAGAUAUAUUCACAAAGCCUUUACCAAUGGAAAGGUUUGAAGCUCUUAAGCAGAAGAUAGGUGUUUGUCAUCCGGAUGCCAAGGAGGAGUGUUCAGUUGUAGGCAUUCCAAAUUCCAAUCCUUGAAGACUUAGUCUUUGCUGAAGAUUAGCUCAAGUUUGUUAUGGCUUUGUUUGUUUUAAAUUUCAAAAACAGGUGUAACAGCCUAAAUAAAUAUGCAGGAAAGAUAGGAAGAAUUUGCUAUUUUUCUUGUAUAAAUAUCUCAUCUCAAAUGGAAUAAAAUCAUCAGCUUCUCUCUAUCAUAUCUGUAGCCUUUUCUUCAUUAACUUGCAGCUUUAUACCUGUAAUUUCUCCAACAAUUAUGCACGGAUGAGAAGGUUGGAAGAGAAGGUUGGAAUGGAAGGAAUGAAGGAUUCUCACCUGAAACCUAUGAUUGUGGUCAGAGAAACUAGUGCUUCAGAAAACACAAGCGUAAGGUUGCAAUUGUCUACUUGCUGCUAACAUCUCAAGCAAAGUUGAGACAUUAAACCUCUUUUUAUGAGUAUGUAUGAAACAUUUUGAAUAUGCAUGUACAACCAGGUUGUGUGUUACACAUAAUUCAGCAAUCAUAAAUUAUUCAUGGCUAUUAGUAGACAUACAAUAAUGUCAACAUCAUUCAUAAUGUGAGAAUUGGCUUCUCAUCUUCCACCUAACAUGCAUCUCUGUGACUGUGAGUGAAAGGGUAGCUGUGGCUCGGCACCUUUCCACCUUACUAGGUACUUCCUAACCAUAUAUCAGAGCCUGGCAUCCAUAGAUCCAUUAUGUAUUUCUUGCCCACAUUCUGCUUAAAAAAUCAAUAGUGUGACUCUCUUGAUGCUCACAGAACUGCAUAAUCUUCUACCCUGAAAAAUUACAAACAAAUCAUCUCCAGUCUUGUAGAACACAAGGAGUUGGGAAUAAUUGAACCAAUUAGGAUCCCAUGGAAUUUUCAUUUUGUAUUAGAAUUUUCCCUGAAUCAUUGUUAUUCUCCCCAUCUUGGAUCACUUUUAGGUGCAGAGAAUGUUUUAGAAAGGAAACUUUACCUUAAUUUUGAAAGGUAGGUUGAAGGAUGCUACUUCACAAAGGUCAGAAGGCUGCCUCCAAAUUUUCAGAAACAAUCAGGUUAUAGUUGUGUACUUUAUCCCAUACAUGAAGACAAUGGAACAUAAAUCCCUCGAUUAUAAUUAACGACGAUGAGCAAGAGUAGAAGCAACAGAUUUGAGCUCUGCUAGGAUAUAAUCUAUGGUCUGAGAAACUAGUGCACCGAAAAACACAAGCACAAGGCAGCAAUUACCAAAAAUCUAGACACAGGAAUGAAGUUGUGUGUAUCUGCAUUUAUCUACUUGUUACAUCUUGCAUAUAUGGUUAUUAUCUCUGUUUGAGUUCAUGGUUGCAUGUGAAAGGAACUUAGAUGGUCAAAUAGUGAAGAAAGACAAUAUUCUAAAUUACAAUCUGUCACAAUGAAUUUGCUUCUUUUUGGAAAUUUUUUUUCAUACUAAAUAAAAGCAAACCUUUUGUUGAGUGUUCGAAGAGGUUCCAGACAAUAUCGAUAUUUUUCAAACAAUCAGUAGUGAUAAAGAGGCAUGAAAGGGAGAUUAGGUUCUAUCCUUCAAUAGUUCCAUCUAGGAAACCCCUCAAAUGCAACCUAAGAGUUGGUGAAGCAAGAAGCAAUCUCAGAUCAAAAUUCAACCCAAAGAUCCAUUCUUUAUUUCUACCCACAUGCCUCUUAGAAAAUGAAUAAUGUUACUGUCUUGAUGCAAACAGAACUGCAUCAGGAAUUUUCUAUCCCACAAAAUCACAAACAAAUCAUAUUCACUCUUCUAAACAAGAAGAGCAGUUUCCUACAGUUCUGAGAAUCAAGAACCACAGGGACGGAUUUGAAAUAAUUGAACCAAUCAGGAACCCAUGAAAUUUUCCUUUUGUACACAGUUUGCCCUGUAUCUUUUUUAUUCUUGCCACCUUUGAUCACUAUUGGAACAGAGACUGUUUUAGAAAGGAAACUUUACCUUAAUUUUGAAAAGUAGGCUGCCUCCCAAUUUCCAGGAAUAGUCAGGAUGUAGCUGUGUAAUUUAUCUCAUGCUAAGAGAAUUAAUAUAGUGAGAAAUUAUUCAUUCCUUCAAUAUCUCUAUUUUCUUGUCAUAUAAGGCUACCAUUAAGGAUGAAAAUUUUGGGAUAUUUCAUUGAAAUAUGGGGUAACAAAAUAAAGUUUGAAAUUAAUGUUUUAUUUCAAGCAAGAAGAUUUUCAAAGUAGUAAUUAUAAAGACAAAUCAAGUUAAAAGGAAAAAAAAUAAAGAAAUGGAAGAAGAUUUCAAAAAGAAGAGUUUUCAAAACUUUGUCUAGAAUUUCUUUGUAAGAUUGUUGGUACCCUAGGAUCAUACAUUUUAUAUUUUAUUCAUGCACCUAAAAUCAUCUAAAGUUGAAUUGCUUUAAAAAAAAUUUAUAUUUGGAUGAUUUCAUAUUUUUAAUUAAAACUUUGUGUCAAAUGCUUUCUAAACUUGCUUUAAAAGGGUAUUGAGAAGUUGAAUACAAGUUAUUGAAGGUUCCAAACUUUAAACCGAGGGCUUUUACGCACUUUACAACGUAACCGGUUGAGGUAAGGAGGAACUGGUUGAGGUGGGGAGGAGUUGGUUGAGCCAAUUGGCUCGACUAGUUGAGGUGCAUUUACACACUUUCUCUCUUCUAGUAGAGUAUUCAAUCGGCCAAGGCCCGAUUGAAGCCCUAAACCCCAAUGAUCACUUGCUAGAAGCAUUACUUGCUAACAGUUAAUGAAUCGAUCGAAGCGAUGCUCAAUCAAACAACCCCGAAUUGUGUCUAACAGCUAGUUUGGCCUCCAAAUUCCUAUAAAAAGACUUCAAACUUCAUUAUUUUAUAGGUUUAAUCUCCCAAAAAUGGUUUUUUUUUUUUUAAUAUAUUUGAGUCUUGAAAUAGUGUUUUUUAAUACACCUUAUUUUAAGACUUACAUAUCAUUAAUGCAUCAUUUAAUCCUAGUUUAUUUUGUAUCCAUUUGAUCUUAAACUUAUACUAAGAUUUUAUGAGUUUAAUUCUCAAGUAUUUCUUAUAACCUUUGUAAGGUGUGCUAUAAGUGUAGGGUAUCACUUGAAGGAAAAAUUUAAUUGUAAAGUAUCGCUUAGUGUUUGCCAAGUGUGGUUUAUCACUUGGGGUGCUCAAGAGUGAGGCAUAUCCUGAAGAAUUUUGUAGUGCC
rnacentral:lncRNA from 1 species